CCUACGGGUGGCAGCAGUGAGGAAUAUUGGUCAAUGGGCGCGAGCCUGAACCAGCCAAGUAGCGUGAAGGAUGACUGCCCUACGGGUUGUAAACUUCUUUUAUAAAGGAAUAAAGUGAGGCACGUGUGCCUUUUUGUAUGUACUUUAUGAAUAAGGAUCGGCUAACUCCGUGCCAGCAGCCGCGGUAAUACGGAGGAUCCGAGCGUUAUCCGGAUUUAUUGGGUUUAAAGGGUGCGCAGGCGGAAUGUCAAGUCAGCGGUAAAAUUUCGGGGCUCAACCCCGUCGUGCCGUUGAAACUGGCGGUCUUGAGUGGGCGAGAGGUAUGCGGAAUGCGUGGUGUAGCGGUGAAAUGCAUAGAUAUCACGCAGAACUCCGAUUGCGAAGGCAGCAUACCGGCGCUCAACUGACGCUCAGGCACGAAAGCGUGGGUAUCGAACAGGAUUAGAUACCCGGGUAGUC
rnacentral:rRNA from 1 species